rnacentral:rRNA from 1 species
UACAGAGGUCUCAAGCGUUGUUCGGAUUCAUUGGGCGUAAAGGGUGCGUAGGUGGCGCUGUAAGUCGGGUGUGAAAUCCUGAGGCUUAACCUCGGAACUGCAUUCGAUACUGCGGCGCUUGAGGACUGGAGAGGAGACUGGAAUUCAUGGUGUAGCAGUGAAAUGCGUAGAGAUCAUGAGGAAGACCAGUGGCGAAGGCGGGUCUCUGGACAGUUCCUGACACUGAGGCACGAAGGCCAGGGGAGCAAAACGGG